rnacentral:rRNA from 1 species
UGGGGAAUAUUGCACAAUGGGCGCAAGCCUGAUGCAGCCAUGCCGCGUGUAUGAAGAAGGCCUUCAGGUUGUAAAGUACUUUCAGCGGGGAGGAAGGGAGUAAAGUUAAUACCUUUACUCAUUGACGUUACCCGCAGAAGAAGCACCGGCUAACUCCGUGCCAGCAGCCGCGGUAAUACGGAGGGUGCAAGCGUUAAUCGGAAUUACUGGGCGUAAAGCGCACGCAGGCGGUUUGUUAAGUCAGAUGUGAAAUCCCCGGGCUCAACCUGGGAACUGCAUCUGA